ensembl:piRNA 21ur-6488 ncRNA
UUUCCAGAAACUAUUGAAGCA